ACAUCAAUGAGGUUUAUCUUUACCUGAAAUAAGAUUACAGAAUAUGAUGUUUGGCUUGAAUAUAUGAUUAUGUUCCAUAUUUAUUUAGGUUUUACAAUCUCUUUAAGAAUUCUGUCUGAU